GAAGGCUGGAGGAGAAGACAUAUGAAUGGUGAAAAAGAAAAGCAGAUAAUAAAGGGCGCAAGAAAGUAUUUUGAGGGUGUAGUCUCAUAAUAUUAAAUCUAACAUAAUCAAAAAUAGGAAAUUGGCGAUAGGCAGCUGGAUUACUUUAUGUUAAUUAAAUUAAAAGAACACUAAAGGAGCUUGCUAUGAAGAUGAAUAAAUAGUUACAUCUGUUUUCACAGCAGAAGAUAUGAAGUAGGGACCCAUACCUGAACAGAUACUGUCAGGAAGAGUGUUGGAGAACAGGGAAAUACCAUAAACAAAAGAUGUUCAAAUUGACAAUCAACAUAUCACCACAUCCAGCAUCCAACUAAUAGGGUUGUUGUAUGUCUUUCGGGCUGUGUGGCCAUGUUCCAGAAGUAUUCUCUCCUAUAGGAGAGAAUACUUCUGGAACAUGGCCACACAGCCCGAAAGACAUACAACAACCCUGUGAUCCUGGCCAUGAAAGCCUUCGACAACAUCCAACUAAUAAUUUUUUUUUAAAAAACCUUGAUGGUAUAAUAUCUGUCUUCUGACAAAAAUAUGUAACAUGUCUCUAAGAUUAUUCUUUGCACUAAAUGACCAGAAUGCCUGUGUAUCACUCUUUCUUUCUUACUUUUUUUAAAAAAUAAUCGCAUAGUUAAAACAACGGUAUUCCCUGUAGUAACCUAUAGAUGUGAGAGCUGGACCACAAGGAAGGCUGAGUGAAGGAAGAUAGACGUUUUUGAACUGUGGUGAUGGAGGAAAAUUCCGAGAGUGUCUUGGACCGCAAGAAGAUUGAACCAGUCCAUCCUCCAGGAAAUAAUGCCCGACUGCUCACUGGAGGGAAGGAUAUUAGAGGCAAAGAUGAAGUACUUUGGCCACACAAUGGAAAGCUUGGAUAAGAUAAUGAUGCUGGGGAAAAUGGAAGGAAAAAGGAAGAGGGGUCGACCAAGGACAAGAUGGAUGGAUGGUAUCCUUGAAGUGACUGGCUUGACCUUGAAGGAGCUGGGGGCGGUGAUGGCCAACAGGGAGCUCUGGCGUGGGCUGGUUCAUGAGGUCAUGAAGAGUCAGAAGCGACUGAACGAAUAAACAACAACAAAUUUUAGGUAAUCUACAACUACCCCACAUAGAAUAUAGUGGGCAGAGGAUCUCACCAAGAUUGGCAUGAAAGAGAAAACUGCAUUCAACAGGAAGGAGGCCCGCCUUGUGAGUACAAGGGAGAGGGCCUUUUCUGCUGUGGCCCCCCGAUUGUGGAAUUCACUACCUACUGAAAUUAGGCAAGCUCCCACGCUGUUAGCUUUUAGGAAAGACUUGAAAACAUGGCUCUUCCGCUGUGCCUUUGAUCUUGCUGCUUUAACCUCUUGCUCCAGAAGAUGAUCCUUCUUUCAACCAGUAUUGCUUCUUCUAUUCCCAUGGCAGCUUGUCCCUCAUGCCCGAGGGGCACCAUGUCGUCAGUCCAUUAAUCACACAGCUAGUCGUAUGUAAGGUUUUGAAAGAAGACUUGAUCUUCAUUCUUACCAGCCAUACUGGAAAAUGCAGUGUUAAACAACAAGGCACAUAAUCUUCUAAAAAUUCUGUACUCUCGUUCCAUAUGCCAUUAAAUCAGCAUCUGAACACUGUAUCUUAUCUAGAAUUCUACACCAUCUCCAUCCACUACCAGGUCUUUGAAUGAAAGUAUUGUACAUGGUUUGAAUAACUAUAAUUACUAAAGUAGACUCACUGAAUCAAUGGUAUUUACAAAAGUUUUAAUUAACUAUUUGUCAAUAGAUUCAAGGAGCUUACUUUAGUUAGGAAUGCCAGUAAUAAUGUCCUAUGUUUGCAUGCAUUUGCAUGUCUCAUAAAAUUUGAAUGUAAUUUACUUCCCUUUCAAAACGCAGAGUUCUAUAUUUGAUGCUGGUGGCCUAAAAGUCUGCUUAUACCGUUUCAUGCUUCAGCCUAUGUGAUAGCUGCUGUUUUAUAGCUGUAAGCAUUGUACUGCCUUAUCAUGCAAGAGGGAUGGGAGUACAAAUGUACUCAUAAGCACAUGCUUAUGGAUGUAGUGGGAAAAAUAUUAUUGGUAUUUGCUUUUGUUUUAUUUAAUAUUUGAUAUAUGUAUAAUCUGAUUUGCAUGUCAGAGGGCUAAAAUGGAUGGCCCUUGGGAUCUCUUUCAACUCUAUUUCUAUGAUUUUACAAAAGAGAUGUGGCAAAUUUUGCAAUAAAAGGAACAAUUUCUUUUAGA